GAGGAAGGCGUUUCCCGGCCUUGGCCAGGGGCUUGCUCCUUGUUGCGCCGACUAGGGCUGCGCAUGCCUUUGAAUCUGCCUGGGGUGGUGGGACAGGGUUUCAUUCUAAACGCUAAUCCCGCUUACGUCCUACGGGAGAAAGCAGGGGACCUUCGGGCCUUGCGCUAUCAGAUGAGCCUAGGUCGGAUUAGCUAGUUGGUGAGGUAAUGGCUCACCAAGGCGACGAUCCGUAACUGGUCUGAGAGGAUGAUCAGUCACACUGGAACUGAGACACGGUCCAGACUCCUACGGGAGGCAGCAGUGGGGAAUAUUGGACAAUGGGCGAAAGCCUGAUCCAGCCAUGCCGCGUGUGUGAAGAAGGUCUUCGGAUUGUAAAGCACUUUAAGUUGGGAGGAAGGGCAGUAAGUUAAUACCUUGCUGUUUUGACGUUACCGACAGAAUAAGCACCGGCUAACUCUGUGCCAGCAGCCGCGGUAAUACAGAGGGGUGCAAGCGUUAAUCGGAAUUACUGGGCGUAAAGCGCGCGUAGGGUGGUUCGUUAAGUUGGAUGUGAAAGCCCCGGGCUCACCCUGGAAACUGCAUCCAAACUGGCGAGCUAGAGUACGGGUAGAGGGUGGUGGAAUUCCCUGUGUAGCGGUGAAAUG
rnacentral:rRNA from 1 species